rnacentral:rRNA from 1 species
GACGAACGCUGGCGGCGCGCUUAACACAUGCAAGUCGAGCGAGAACCGGCCUUCGGGCCGGGGAAAGCGGCGAACGGGUGAGUAACACGUGGGUAAUCUGCCCUCGGCACCGGGAUAGCCCGGGGAAACCCGGAUUAAUACCGGAUGGCCCUUUGAGUCCUCGGAUUCAAAGGAAAAGGUAGCUUCGGCCUCCGGCCGAGGAUGAGCCCGCGGCGGAUUAGCUUGUUGGUGGGGUAACGGCCUACCAAGGCGACGAUCCGUAGCUGGUCUGAGAGGACGAUCAGCCACACUGGGACUGAGACACGGCCCAGACUCCUACGGGAGGCGGCAGUGGGGAAUCUUGCGCAAUGGGCGAAAGCCUGACGCAGCGACGCCGCGUGAGGGAAGAAGGCCUUCGGGUUGUAAACCUCUUUCAGGAGGGACGAAGCCACUCGGGUUAAUAGCCCAGAGGGUGACGGUACCUCCAGAAGAAGCCCCGGCUAACUACGUGCCAGCAGCCGCCGUAACAC